UGUCUGAUUCAAUAACCUGUAUUCUGAGCA
rnacentral:piRNA from 2 species